AUGUUGCAGAGUGCUUAAGGUAUUAGGCAAUAUUUCAUCAGAGCUAUAUUCGAUUUCUCCCCCUUUUUGUCAGAAUCAAAAAGACUUAGCAGAAAAAAUUUAACGAAAAUAGGAUAUUAUAUUCAGAUAAAGAGCUCAGAGACAAUGGUAAGCAAAAGCAAACAAGCAAGCAUCAGAAACAAAGAAGGCAGAGAAACAAGCAAAUAAUCCUAA
rnacentral:lncRNA from 1 species